UACGGAGGAUCCAAGCGUUAUCCGGAUUUAUUGGGUUUAAAGGGUGCGUAGGCGGCUUAUUAAGUCAGGGGUGAAAGACGGUGGCUCAACCAUCGCAGUGCCCUUGAUACUGAUGAGCUUGAAUACACUAGAGGUAGGCGGAAUGUGACAAGUAGCGGUGAAAUGCAUAGAUAUGUCACAGAACACCGAUUGCGAAGGCAGCUUACUAUGGUGUUAUUGACGCUGAGGCACGAAAGCGUGGGGGAUCAAACAGG
rnacentral:rRNA from 1 species